rnacentral:lncRNA from 1 species
ACGUAACUGCAGUAUAGGGUAAAACGCUACAAUACGCCCCAGUUGACAAUAAGCCCCACUGCGCCUACACACACACAAAUACAGAUAUCAGACAAGCAGUGACACGAACGGUAGCGCGACAGUCGCCCGAAAACCUGGCUACUGGUUAGACGUGAUAAUUGCGAUUUAUUAGGAAAAAAAUCUAAAUCUUUUGUAAAGUGCUUCGGAACAUAUUGCGAUGCCGCGUAAUUAUCAAAGAAAAAGUAUGCAUAAAGUACGCAGCGAGGAUAUAGUAGUCAAUGAGUGUACAAAAUACCAUCAAGAACACUUAAAAGACAUCUGUUAACAGGAAAGCUGAAAGUUCCACUCAAGAGACCAUGUGUUUUUUCAGAAGGAUAGUCAAACUAAUAGGCAAAGCUUGGGGAAAGGCGGCUCGUAUGUCCAACUGUAUCGCUGCUUUAAAGUCCUGUGGAAUCUACCCGUAUGAACCGACCGCUAUACCAGAAAAAGAUAUAAGCAAAUACUGCAUUUGAAAAAAACAACUCAAAAAUGUCCUGAUAUACCAUCAGGAUCUGCAGAACAAACUCCAACGAAAUUGUUGACUAAAAUUUACUCUCCAUACCUAAGUUAACAGUAAUGAUGUUAAACAAAAACAAAAUGCUGUAGUGUGGACGUCUCAAGAAAAUAUCCAGAAAAAAAUAUGAAGGAAAGGAAAAAGCGACAAAAAAAAAGUGAAUAACUCAUCAUCAUCAGAAAGCGAUAAUAAUGAACAAAAUUAUAAGAGUUCUUCUAAUAAAGAUAUUUCUGAUGAUGAACAGAAUAGGUGCGUUGAGUGCACAGAUUAUUGUACUUCUAAAGAGGAUAAGAUGUUUAUCAUGUACAUCUUGAAUGCAUUAAUUUUGUACAAAGUACAAUCAAUCCUUUAUGCAAUGUUUGUGAUGGAAAAGCUAAGCAGGAGGCUGUCUAAGAACCCAAAUAAAUAAGUAGAUACUAUGCUACUUAAAUAUACUAUAUAAAAUUAUUAUGGUGAUUAAGAAUUUGAUCUCAAUGUAACUACAAAGACUUAUAAUAAUUGUUCAUUUUCAGUUAUUUAGCUUAGGUAAAGUUUAAGAAAUUGUUUAUUUUUUGCAUAUAAUUACAGUGGGGCAUUUUGUACUAGACGUGAGGCAUAUUAUCAACUCAAAGCAUUACAAAACGCCCUAUCUAAGGUUUUAAAAAAAUUGUAUUUUUAGCUAGUGUAUAAGGAUUUUUUACCAAACUAAGGUGCCAUUUUGUAGUUUAUAAACUGUUUGUUACAUAUCUUAUAAAAUAUACGAUUAGAUUUA